GUAGGUGGCAAGCGUUGUCCGGAAUUAUUGGGCGUAAAGCGCGCGCAGGCGGUUCUUUAAGUCUGAUGUGAAAGCCUACGGCUCAACCGUGGAGGGUCAUUGGAAACUGGAGAACUUGAGUACAGAAGAGGAAAGCGGAACUCCACGUGUAGCGGUGAAAUGCGUAGAGAUGUGGAGGAACACCAGUGGCGAAGGCGGCUUUCUGGUCUGUAACUGACGCUGAGGCGCGAAAGCGUGGGGAGCAAACAGGGAUUAGAUACCCUGGUAGUCCACGCCGUAAACGAUGAGUGCUAAGUGUUAGGGGGGUUUCCGCCCCCUUAGUGCUGCAGCUAACGCAUUAAGCACUCCGCCUGGGGAGUACGGCCGCAAGGCUG
rnacentral:rRNA from 1 species